AGUAGAAUGGCUGAGAUAUGAAGGUGAUAGAUUGUAAAUCUAUUAAGGAGAUAAAUUCUCUUCUACUA
rnacentral:tRNA from 1 species